GCUUGUCUAAAGAUUAAGCCAUGCAUGUCUCAGUAUAAACUUCUAUACGGUGAAACUGCGAAUGGCUCAUUAAAACAGUUAUAAUUUAUUUGAUGGUCGCUUACUACAUGGAUAACUGUGGUAAUUCUAGAGCUAAUACAUGCACAAAAACCCGACUUCGCAGAAGGGUUGUGUUUAUUAGAUGGAAACCAAUGCGGGGCAACCCGGUAUAUGGUGAUUCAUAAUAACUUUCGGAUCGAUCUUCGGAUCGAUGCAUCAUUCAAGUUUCUGCCCUAUCAGCUUUGGAUGGUAGGGUAUUGGCCUACCAUGGCUUUAACGGGUAACGGAGAAUUAGGGUUCGAUUCCGGAGAGGGAGCCUGAGAAAUGGCUACCACAUCCAAGGAAGGCAGCAG
rnacentral:rRNA from 1 species